GCCUGAAAUCAAGGAUUCCUUGGGGUCUACAUGAUAGUGAUGUUUACAUAAGGGUUGGGAUCACAAUGGUGUUCCAAAAAUACACAUUCUAUUCUAAAGAAUCCACAUCUUAAUCUGUAGUGACAUGGUCGGAAACCUUCAGGUCUACAUUCUGUAAUACUGUGAGCACAAAAAUAAUAGAUUUCCAUAUGAUUAAGGAGAAUAUGCUCAUAAUUAUGGAAAAAGACAAUGAUUACAAAGAAAGCAAAUAUUGCUGACAUGAGAAACAAUGUUAUCUUUUGAAACAACUGGAGUCACCUUCUAUUUGAGGAGUACCUUAAGAAAUGCAGAAGGGUUUCAACAGAAAAGGUUUAGCAAUCUGGAAAACCACAAGACAGGCAGUAAGUUAACACCAAAAGCAAACAAAAAAGAAACUCAUGAGCAUCCAGUAUCAACCUGAGGACUAUACAGCGUUAAAUGUGUGUGGUCAUUUGCUGAUUGAAAUUCAUUCCUGCUAAAUAAGAAAAUUGUUUCAUCUAAUUCAGUUUUCAGGAAAAUUUUUCACCAUAAAUUAUCCAUCUUCUUUACCUUCUGAAAUAAAUUUCCUUUAAUCUAAAUAAAUCUUUAUCUGCUG